rnacentral:lncRNA from 1 species
CUGUAGAGGGGACGUUUCGACUGGCCCCUGUUUCUCCACACUGAGGACCCCAGGGCCUGGUCCUUGGACGUCUUGUCUUCCACGACUUGUUCCCAGGUGGCCCCAUCCCUCGUCGUGGCUUUAAACCCCAGCUGUGUGCUGGCGGCCUCCGCAUGGGCAGCUCCUGCCCCAGUCUCUCUCCUGGCUCCAUAUGUAUGUAUUUACUCGCCUUAACAUGGUCCCAGCUGAACUCUUGAUCUCGUCGAGAAGCUUCUCCCAUCUUGGCAGAUGGCAACUCCAUCCUCACGGAUCUGGAACAGCUCUGGCCCCGGGUCAGUGUGCUUGAGCAAAUGAGGGCGAGCCGUCAGCAUCUGCGUAGUUCCGAGGCCGAGCGCAAGGCAGCACAGCUCUGCCCGGCCUGGCGAGGGGCGACCCAGCCCGAUGGCGCAGCCCGUGCCGCCGAAACGCAGGACACGUGAAAUAUAUUCAGUCUGAGCAAGACGCAGGCUGCUCUGUGGAGACUCUGCUGCCAGCCCUCUCUUGAGACGGAGGUUGAGCAGGGCAACUGGGUAGAUGUGUGCCUCACCUGGACAGAAAAUGGGAGAUAAGCAGGUAACAGGUAUGGCGUAUUAACCAGGUGCCAGCAUGCCGCUAAGCUUGUCGCCUGAAUUCCCUGGUUAAGUCCUCCCACGACCCCGGGC